GGGGAUGACAGGCUUCGACAGGGAGGGCUGGUCAGCGAUUGCAGGCCGAGGUGCCUCACCCUCGCUAAUCAGGGGCAAAAUGACAAGUGCCAACAACACUUACGCUCCGGCUUAUGCACUCGCCGCGUAAGCGGUCAUCAUAAGCCACCGGCCGACAGAGUCGGCCGCGUCCGCCUCCUGGCUUUGCCCGAGAGCCGGAGAACGGGCGUCGACUAAUUCGGGAUGCGGGUGGCGCGACGCCGAUACCGUUGCCCAAAGAUGCAUCGGCUGGUAGUCCGGAGCCUUUGUCGGGCGAGGGCCGGACUACGAGAAAUCAAUGACCGACUAUGCCUGUAGUAUAUCUCUGGUCGAACUUUCUGGACGCGGGUUCGAUUCCCGCCAUCUCCACCU
rnacentral:tmRNA from 1 species